rnacentral:tRNA from 1 species
GCCCGUGUGGCCAAACUGGAAAGGCACUUCCCGGCGAAGGAAGCGACGAGCCCGCUUUUCUCAACAGCUUUUUGACAGGCAGACGAGAAAAGCGGGCGACACGUUCGAAUCGUCUCACGGGCACCA